UGCAAGUCGAACGAAGUAGCAAUACUUAGUGGCAGACGGGUGAGUAACAUGUGGGUAUCUUCCCUAUGGUGAGGAAUAACACGAGGAAACUUGUGCUAAUACCUCAUAAGUCUUUACGGAGAAAGCUUUAUGCGCCAUUGGAUGAGCCCGCACUUGAUUAGUUUGUUGGUAGGGUAAUGGCCUACCAAGACUGUGAUCAAUAGCUGAUUUGAGAGGAUGAUCAGCCACAUUGGGACUGAGACACGGCCCAAACUCCUACGGGAGGCAGCAGUAAGGAAUCUUGCACAGUGGAGGAAACUCUGAUGCAGCGAUGCCGCGUGAGUGAAGAAGGCCCUUGGGUUGUAAAGCUCUUUCGUCGGGGAAGAAAAUGACUGUACCCGAAUAAGAAGGUCCGGCUAACUUCGUGCCAGCAGCCGCGGUAAUACGAAGGGACCUAGCGUAGUUCGGAAUUACUGGGCUUAAAGAGUUCGUAGGUGGUUAAAAAUGUUGGUGGUGAAAUCCCAGAGCUUAACUCUGGAACUGCCAUCAAAACUUUUUAGCUAGAGUAUGAUAGAGGAAAGCAGAAUUUCUAGUGUAGAGGUGAAAUUCGUAGAUAUUAGAAAGAAUACCAAUUGCGAA
rnacentral:rRNA from 1 species